rnacentral:lncRNA from 1 species
CUCGAGUAACUUGUUCUGUAAGUUUUUUGCAAGACAAUUAAACAUUUCUAAUAAAUUUAACUUGAUAAACAAGUGGUGUCUUAUAGUAUGAGUAAUACAUGAUGCCAAACAUCACAUGAUCACAACUGAGCCAAUGGUUCUCUCUCUCUCUCUCUCUCUCUCUCUCUCUCUCUCUCUCCUCUGUCUCUGUCUCUCUUUCUCUGCAGGAUUGUGAGUGAUCCUCUCUUGUCUCUCAACAGCAAGAGGUUGGUUAUGGACAAGAUCUCAUCUCCAGAGGAGGAGGAGAAAAAGCCAUGAAGGUUUUCAAAGGUAUAAUUAUGCAAAGGAAAGAAUCCAGCAAAGAAUUGCCAGAGAAGGAAUAAAAAAUAAGAUUUUAUAUGAAAGCACCCACCUUGAUCCUGAAAGAAAACAAACCAACAGCAACAACUGAGCAACUUGAACAUGGAAAAUGGAACUCUUGAAGUCAGUGUGAACAAUGUUGGGGUCAACUACACAGAGCAUUUUAUACAUACAAAUAAAGUAUGUUUAAACCAUAAAAAAAAAAAUUAACAAAAGCAAACAUCAGGCCUGAAUUAUUAUACCAGAA